GGUGGGUUGGCUCAGUGGUUAGAGCGUAGGUCUCGCAACCGAAAGGUUGCGGGAUCGAAUCCCGCUAGAGGCUG
rnacentral:tRNA from 1 species